GAUCCUGGCUCAGGAUGAACGCUAGCGACAGGCUUAACACAUGCAAGUCGAGGGGCAGCAUGAUUUGUAGCAAUACAGAUUGAUGGCGACCGGCGCACGGGUGAGUAACGCGUAUGCAACUUACCUAUCAGAGGGGAUAGCCCGGCGAAAGUCGGAUUAAUACCCCAUAAAACAGGGGUCCCGCAUGGGAAUAUUUGUUAAAGAUUCAUCGCUGAUAGAUAGGCAUGCGUUCCAUUAGGUAGUAGGCGGGGUAACGGCCCACCUAGCCGACGAUGGAUAGGGGUUCUGAGAGGAAGGUCCCCCACAUUGGAACUGAGACACGGUCCAAACUCCUACGGGAGGCAGCAGUGAGGAAUAUUGGUCAAUGGACGAGAGUCUGAACCAGCCAAGUAGCGUGAAGGAUGAAGGUCCUACGGAUUGUAAACUUCUUUUAUAAGGGAAUAAACCCUCCCACGUGUGGGAGCUUGUAUGUACCUUAUGAAUAAGCAUCGGCUAACUCCGUG
rnacentral:rRNA from 1 species